UACGGGGGGGGCAAGCGUUGUUCGGAAUUACUGGGCGUAAAGGGUUCGUAGGUGGCCCGCUAAGUCACACGUGAAAUCCCUCAGCUUAACUGGGGAACUGCGUGUGAGACUGGCAGGCUUGAGUGCAGGAGAGGAACGCGGAAUUCCAGGUGUAGCGGUGAAAUGCGUAGAUAUCAGGAGGAACACCGAUGGCGAAGGCAGGUCUCUGGGCCAUUACUGACACUGAGAAGCGAAAGCAUGGGGAGCGAACAGG
rnacentral:rRNA from 1 species